rnacentral:piRNA from 1 species
UGGUCUUGACUUCCUCAUUUCUGAUUGGACA